rnacentral:rRNA from 2 species
AAUGGGGAAACCCAGUGUGAUUCGUCACACUAUCAUUAACUGAAUCCAUAGGUUAAUGAGGCGAACCGGGGGAACUGAAACAUCUAAGUACCCCGAGGAAAAGAAAUCAACCGAGAUUCCCCCAGUAGCGGCGAGCGAACGGGGAGGAGCCCAGAGCCUGAAUCAGCAUGUGUGUUAGUGGAAGCGUCUGGAAAGGCGCGCGAUACAGGGUGACAGCCCCGUACACAAAAGCGCAUGUGCUGUGAGCUCGAUGAGUAGGGCGGGACACGUGGUAUCCUGUCUGAAUAUGGGGGGACCAUCCUCCAAGGCUAAAUACUCCUGACUGACCGAUAGUGAACCAGUACCGUGAGGGAAAGGCGAAAAGAACCCCGGCGAGGGGAGUGAAAAAGAACCUGAAACCGUGUACGUACAAGCAGUGGGAGCACAGGUUUACCUGUGUGACUGCGUACCUUUUGUAUAAUGGGUCAGCGACUUAUAUUCUGUAGCAAGGUUAACCGAAUAGGGGAGCCGGAGGGAAACCGAGUCUUAAUUGGGCGUUAAGUUGCAGGGUA